CCAGACUCCUACGGGAGGCAGCAGUGAGGAAUAUUGGUCAAUGGUCGGGAGACUGAACCAGCCAAGCCGCGUGAGGGAGGAAGGUACAGAGUAUCGUAAACCUCUUUUGUCAGGGAACAAAGACUGGGACGCGUCCCCGGAUGAGUGUACCUGAAGAAAAAGCAUCGGCUAACUCCGUGCCAGCAGCCGCGGUAAUACGGAGGAUGCGAGCGUUAUCCGGAUUUAUUGGGUUUAAAGGGUGCGCAGGCGGAAUGUCAAGUCAGCGGUAAAAUUUCGGGGCUCAACCCCGUCGUGCCGUUGAAACUGGCGUUCUUGAGUGAGCGAGAAGUAUGCGGAAUGCGUGGUGUAGCGGUGAAAUGCAUAGAUAUCACGCAGAACUCCGAUUGCGAAGGCAGCCUGCCGCAGCGUUACUGACGCUGAAGCUCGAAAGCGCGGGUAUCGAACAGGAUUAGAUACCCCUGUAC
rnacentral:rRNA from 1 species